AUUGCAGGUCUGUGGCUGAUCUUAAUUGGGAAGAACAAUGAAGACAUUCAUUCAAACUUUGUUUAUGUUCUUAUGGCUGCAGCUGGACUGGGUGACCAGAGGAGAGAAUGUGGAGCAGCAUCCUUCUACGCUGCAUGUCCAGGAGGGAGAUACUUCUGUCAUCAACUGCACUUAUACAGACAGUGCCUCAAACUACUUCCCUUGGUAUAAGCAACAACUUGGAAAAGGUCCCCAGCUCUUUAUAAACAUUCGUUCAAAUAUGGACAACAAGAAAGAAGGAAGAUUCACUCUUUUAUUGAGUAAGACGGCCAAACAUUUCUCCCUGCACAUUGCAGCCACCCAACCUGGAGACUCAGCUGUCUACUUCUGUGCAGCGGGUACACAUUGCUUCUCGGGCACUGCUCACCUAUACCUAAACCUGAGAUGGGCAUGAAGCCCUACCCCUUUCCU